AGUACUAAAAAAAAAGAGGAGGGAACCGUUUCCAGAAGGCUGGUGAUGUAACAAGAUGACAUCAAGCUCUGAAGUGUCCUUAAAUUCAGACCCACUACAGAAGCAGAGAGAGAGAGAGAUUACAGCUACUACUGAUGCUGGAAACAAAAUGUUCAUGAUUCAGUCUUAAUUACUGAUGUCUUUUGUAGGUAUACAGCUGAAAGAGGGAGAAAAAGGAAAUAAAGCAAGAUGACAGAGCUUUAGCUUUGGAUUUAAGACCGAUUGAAGUACAUUUGAUUAUAAGUUCCCAUUAGCUCAUUUCCUAACCUUCUGAUUGACUUUUCUAAAGGACUGUGAGGCUGGACUGUGAGAGAAGCAGCUCUGGAAAGACUCUUUUUUGGCUGUGUUUACCUCUGACCUCUUUGGUUCACUUUAUACACACACUUUCCCAUGUGAGCCAGUGAAUUAAGGCUGAUGAAAAUGCUGUCUGACCUGAAAGGCCCAGCCACAGAACUGGGUAUUUUUUAAAAACUGUGUAUCAAGCACAUUGCAACAUGUUGUAUUUUGAUAAUAGUACAUAUGGGGUUUGUGUAGGAGUAGGACAACCUUUCAUGACUGUUAGAUGGAAAUUAAUAAAAUAAUACUAUUGUCUUGAAAACAGAAAUAAGAGAUGAAAAAUAACUCAAUUAGACACUGUGGUUGUAUUAGACCUAAAUGCCUCUUUCAGUCUAUCACUUAACACAGAUCUGUUUCUUGUUCCUGCUGCAACAUGAUGGACAAUCUGACAGAUAUAAAGUUUGAUGUGCUAGCGAAGUGUAAACAAAGCAGAGAGCUUGCACCAACAGUCUUCAACCUGGAGAGACUCAUUGUUGGUUUUAGUCUGUGUAUGAGGUUUGUUGAAAAUACUAUUCAUAUAGAAAAUGACCUACCUUAUCCUUAAUUAAAACCUAAUUGUUACCCACACUACAGUUGUUUUUGAAAUGAGCAAAUUGCAUAUUGUUUUGCACAUCCCUCUCUCGUCCUGCCUCUAGUGUUAAUGUCACUGUUUGUCUUUUUCUGUUUCUCUUUGUAAGACUUCACGUUUUGAAUGUAGUUUGAUGACCUCCAUUCACAUUAUAGUCAGUGAUUCAUGAUGUAGUAAACGGUAUUCAAUUCCUGUUCACCUUCAGACCCCAUGCACUGUAUAAGUGUAUACUCUAGAUCUGACAGAGAUGUGUUUCUGAGUCGAUCUCAAGAUGGAUGACUCAUCAAUCACAGCCCAUUUACUGUAAAUAUAUUGAAAGAAAUUCCAUUGUCUUGUAACACAUCACACUAAAUCACGUGCAAGACUUUGUUGUUCUUCAUGUAAAUGAUAUUAAUAAAACUUCACAUCACGUGAUUCAUGUCCAUUAAAAAGCCUUUUGAGUUCU